rnacentral:tRNA from 2 species
GGGGCUGUAGCUCAGUUGGUGAGAGCAUCCGCCUGUCGAGCGGAAUGUCGCCGGUUCAAACCCGGUCAGCCUCG